CUCAACCUGGGAACUGCAUCUGAUACUGGCAAGCUUGAGUCUCGUAGAGGGGGGUAGAAUUCCAGGUGUAGCGGUGAAAUGCGUAGAGAUCUGGAGGAAUACCGGUGGCGAAGGCGGCCCCCUGGACGAAGACUGACGCUCAGGUGCGAAAGCGUGGGGAGCAAACAGGAUUAGAUCCCCUGGUAGUCCACGCCGUAAACGAUGUCGACUUGGAGGUUGUGCCCUUGAGGCGUGGCUUCCGGAGCUAACGCGUUAAGUCGACCGCCUGGGGAGUACGGCCGCAAGGUUAAAACUCAAAUGAAUUGACGGGGGCCCGCACAAGCGGUGGAGCAUGUGGUUUAAUUCGAUGCAACGCGAAGAACCUUACCUGGUCUUGACAUCCACGGAAGUUUUCAGAGAUGAGAAUG
rnacentral:rRNA from 1 species